rnacentral:lncRNA from 1 species
UGAUGCAAAUAAUCCUGUUACGGAUAGGUGGUCAAAAGAACAUGGUGUAGCCUAACAAGACCGAAAUACAACCACAGUGAUCACCAUUCAUCACUACUUGUGUGAAAUUUAAACUUUGCCGCUAGGUGUCAGGCUUUUAAAUCUGUAAUAUUUCAGUCAUUUUAUGAUCAAUGUAUUGUGUUUCUAACGCCGAACGGGAAAAUGUUGGAGCCACAGUAAUAGACUCUUUCAAGGUCAAGAUGCCAUAAUGAAACACAAAGUGUAAGGGCUGCAAACACAAUGGAAAUUCCUACUAGUAAAUUUGCAAGGUUGUAUAAACACAAUGGUGAGAUCAAUGUAUUGAAAUUAAGUAGGGGGGGGGGGGCAAUGCAACUCAAUGGGUUAUUAAAAGUAACUAGCGUGUCAAGCUCUAUGCUUGAAAUAAAGCCUGCUACUGAGGUCAGUAAAAAGGAUUGAUGCACAUGAUUUGUACGCAAAAUUCCCAUUGGUCAGAAAUAAAUAGCUUUGUUUUUAAGGUAAUGCCAAAUUGUUGUUUACGUAAUGAUAUUCCGUACUUGUAAUUGUACUUUAACUACUUUUGGCCAUGUUAAUGACUGCCUUUGCUGCAGUCAAUAACAGUUAUUAUUAUUAUUUAAUAUGUAAUUCCUGGCCAUUUGAUGAAAAUUGGAAUAUUUAGUUUUGAGAUAUUGGUGGAAAAGUUGGCCAUUAUUGUCAUAUUUUAAAUUAGCUUUGAUAAUCUAAUGUAUCAAUUAAUUCCAGCAGUUCCCACCCCUGGGCCUUUGCAGCUUUUCCUAAUCACGGGGGUGGGGCUAUUGCCGAUAUUUUUUAGCCCUGGGGUGAGGAUUUUGACAUUUUCCAUCAUGGGGGAUUUCGUAGAUUUGCUGGAAAACUGAUAUUUAAUUUGAUUGCAAAUGGCUUGUGGACAUAGCCAUUUUCUUCCCAGAAAUGGCUAAUACCUCGGGGGGAUGGGCACUGCUGGAAUUGACUGAUACGUAAUUAACAAUCGCCAUUUUGAUUGGUUGUUAUUUUUGUGCAUCCCAAUCACUGUCCACUUUUUAUUGACUUCAGUAACAGGCUUACCCUGCGAGCAAAGUCCUCUCGUAUUUCUUCUCAGCACGAGAGAGACUCUGCAGAACUUGUGUAUAUUCUUUGUGGAGCCGACAAUCCAAAAACUUGGAUAAUUAUGAGUAAUUUCAGGUUUGAUACCAGUUUUAUAACCGGUUUUGAUCCGAACCGGAAACUACUUAUUAAAUCUUCUUCUGGGAAAUAGGCAGUUGCUUAGCAACCUUCGCGCAUGCUCAAAUGAAUUUAUACACAAGUUCUGCAGAGUCUCUCUCGCUUCUCCGUGCCGUGCCGAGAAGAAAUACGAGAGGACUUUGCUCACAGGGUAUAACAGGCUCUAUUUCAAGCAUCGAGCCUGACACGCAAGCUACCUUCAAAGGGCCUAUUUGGCAACUUCUGUUGUGGUUACCCAGCCUGAGGCAAAAGUAAUAAAUUUUGAAUUGUUAUAAAUGUUCUGUGAAGUGCACAUAUUUUUCCUGCAGUUAGGGACCAGUCCUUAUUUAUGGAGAGGGAGGGGGAGGCAAAAGGUGGGGCCAUGACCCCAUGAGUAUAAAUAAUUUACUAGAAGGGGGGGGGUGGCAUUAAAUUUUUUGAGAAAAUCAGUUGAAGGGUCAAAAUGUGGAGUUGCAAUAAAUUUGUUUAAGCCUGGUUUCCAGUGUCCUCGAAGUUGGCCUAAGCCAGAUAAAUCCAAUAAAUGAUAUCAACCUCAUACCCAGGGCUUCUGCGCUUAUACACUGCUCUCAGAAGAAAGAGCAAUAAGCGCAGAAGCCCUGCGCAGAAGAC